UACGUAGGUGGCAAGCGUUGUCCGGAUUUCUUGGGUUUAAAGGGUGCGUAGGCGGCUUUGUAAGUCAGUGGUGAAAUAUGGCAGCUCAACUGUCAGGGUGCCAUUGAUACUGCGGAGCUUGAGUACAGAUGAGGUAGGCGGAAUUGACGGUGUAGCGGUGAAAUGCUUAGAUAUCGUCAAGAACACCGAUAGCGAAGGCAGCUUACUGGGCUGUAACUGACGCUGAGGCACGAAAGUGUGGGGAUCAAACAGG
rnacentral:rRNA from 1 species